UAAAUUAAGAGUUUGAUCCUGGCUCAGGAUGAACGCUGGCGGCGUGCUUAACACAUGCAAGUCGAGCGAGAAACUACAUGCAGACACUUCGGUAGAAGCGAGUAGCGGAAAGCGGCGGACGGGUGAGUAACGCGUAGGCAACCUGCCCUUCACAGAGGUAUAGCCUCGGGAAACCGGGAUUAAAACCACAUAAAAUCAUAGGUUCGCAUGAACCAAAGGUCAAAGAUUUAUCGGUGAAGGAUGGGCCUGCGUCUGAUUAGCUGGUUGGUAGGGUAAAAGCCUACCAAGGCGACGAUCAGUAGCCGACCUGAGAGGGUGAUCGGCCACAUUGGAACUGAGACACGGUCCAAACUCCUACGGGAGGCAGCAGUGGGGGAUAUUGCACAAUGGGGGAAACCCUGAUGCAGCAACGCCGCGUGAGGUAUGAAGGCCUUUGGGUUGUAAGCCUCUGUCCUAGGGGAAGAAAAAAAUGACGGUACCCGAGGAGGAAGCCCCGGCUAACUACGUGCCAGCAGCCGCGGUAAUACGUAGGGGGCAAGCGUUAUCCGGAAUUAUUGGGCGUAAAGAGUGCGUAGGUGGUCUACUAAGCGCGAGGUGAAAGGCAAUGGCUCAACCAUUGUUAGCCUUGCGAACUGGCAGACUUGAGUGCAAGAGAGGAAAGCGGAAUUCCUAGUGUAGCGGUGAAAUGCGCAGAUAUUAGGAGGAACACCGGCGGCGAAGGCGGCUUUCUGGAUUGUAACUGACACUGAGGCACGAAAGCGUGGGUAGCAAACAGGAUUAGAUACCCUGGUAGUCCACGCCGUAAACGAUGAGCACUAGGUGUCGGGACAUGAGUCUCGGUGCCGCAGUUAACGCAAUAAGUGCUCCGCCUGGGGAGUACGCACGCAAGUGUAAAACUCAAAGGAAUUGACGGGGACCCGCACAAGCAGCGGAGCAUGUGGUUUAAUUCGAAGCAACGCGAAGAACCUUACCAAGACUUGACAUCCCUCUGACGUACCCUUAAUCGGGUAUUUCUUCGGACAGAGGAGACAGGUGGUGCAUGGUUGUCGUCAGCUCGUGUCGUGAGAUGUUGGGUUAAGUCCCGCAACGAGCGCAACCCUUGUCUUUAGUUGCCAUCAUUAAGUUGGGCACUCUAAAGAGACUGCCGGGGAAACUCGGAGGAAGGUGGGGAUGACGUCAAAUCAUCAUGCCCCUUAUGUCUUGGGCUACACACGUGCUACAAUGGCCGGUACAAAGAGAAGCGAUACCGCAAGGGGGAGCAAAUCUUAAAAACCGGUCCCAGUUCGGAUUGCAGGCUGCAACUCGCCUGCAUGAAGUCGGAGUUGCUAGUAAUCGCAGAUCAGAAUGCUGCGGUGAAUGCGUUCCCGGGUCUUGUACACACCGCCCGUCACACCAUGGAAGUUGGGGGCGCCCGAAGUUGGUCGACAAUAGAUUACCUAAGGCGAAAUCAAUGACUGGGGUGAAGUCGUAACAAGGUAGCCGUAUCGGAAGGUGCGGCUGGAUCACCUCCUUU
rfam:Eubacterium saphenum ATCC 49989 genomic scaffold Scfld0, whole genome shotgun sequence.